GCUUAAUUGAUGCGUUUUCUCCACUUUCUUUUCUUGACAAGUUGAUUCGAAUUGAAAUGGUCUGUAACAAGGCUGUCAUGGGUCCUAGGAACAAGCAAACCCUCUCCUGGAGGUGGAAAACAGCACGUUUUGUAUUUCUCUCUGAGCAGAGUGACCGGUGGCAGGUGUGUCAGCAGCUGACAGCUUUAGCUGGGCUGCAGCACCCACCUGCAGCCCAUGGCGUGGCCUCACCCUGGUGCCUCCAAAAGCUGGCAGGAGGCCUUCAGCUGAAUUCUUAAGGCAUUACCAUGGGAAUUUUCCCUUUCUGGGGAUUGUAACAGAGCUCCAGGACUAGUUGUUUUUGUGAUGUGCUUCUUGACUGGCUGGAGCGGCCCUUAUUCAGGAACUCCAUCCAAGCAUCUCCUGCAGAGAAUGAAACCAUCAGCUGUCCUCGAAGCGGUGCUCCAUACUGCGGUGACACACAACGGUGAGUCGUGCGGUGGUUGGAUCUUGGAUUUUAACAUGCUCAAAGCAGAGCCAGGAGCAUCCAUCUCACCGUAUCGCCGCAUGAAGUGGGAUACAUCAAACGCGUCCUUCGGAGAGGAGCAGUGCUGACCUUAUGACACCCAGAGGAGACUAUCUGCUGUCCUACCAGCGAUGAGGAAUUGGCACAGCUCUGCUGGGCUCGAGGAGAGAGAAAUACUGAGCUUUCAAGAGCUGCUGCACUGCAUCCCACUACAACAUGAGGAGCCCUUAGGUGCAGGAAGAUUCUCAGUGAGAACAAUUGUUUUUGAGUGGAGAAGCUAUUGUGUGGUGCUGGGAAGAACUUUGGCAUUAAAAGCAAACCCAAAUUCCUUCCAGAGUAACCUGGAGAAGCUCAGAAACCCUCUGCUACUCACCUCCCAGCCUCAGGCUGCAAGGCAAGUGGUGAAUUUGCUGAUAAUUCAUAUUCGAUUAGCUUUAAUAUGUUCUAAUUCACUGGUAGGAGCGAGAGAGGCCUGGUGGGCUGCAGACAGAUAUCGCACUGAUUAG
rnacentral:lncRNA from 1 species